AUACGGAGGGUGCGAGCGUUAAUCGGAAUUACUGGGCGUAAAGCGCGCGUAGGCGGUUACGUAAGUCGGGUGUGAAAGCCCCGGGCUCAACCUGGGAAUUGCAUUCGAAACUGCGUAGCUAGAGUCUGAUAGAGGGAAGUGGAAUUUCCGGUGUAGCGGUGAAAUGCGUAGAUAUCGGAAGGAACAUCAGUGGCGAAGGCGACUUCCUGGAUCAAGACUGACGCUCAGGUGCGAAAGCGUGGGGAGCAAACAGGAUUAGAAACCCCAGUAGUCC
rnacentral:rRNA from 1 species